rnacentral:rRNA from 1 species
CGGGGCUUCCUAAUACAUGCAGUCGAGCGGACAGAAGGGAGCUUGCUCCCGGAUGUUAGCGGCGGACGGCCGAGAAACACGUGGGUAACCUGCCUGUAAGAUGGGAUCCCUCCGGGAAACCGGAGCUAAUACCGGAUAGUUCCUUGAACCGCAUGGUUCAAGGAUGAAAAACGGUUUCGGCUGUCACUUACAGAUGGACCCGCGCCGCAUUAGCUAGUCGGUGAGGUAACGGCUCACCC